ensembl:lncRNA
AUGGUGCUUUUGCUCACUGUACACUGCAGAAGAGAUCUUGUUCUGUCUUCAGGUGGCAAAAAUAAAGAUUGGAUUCUCCUUGUGUGUCUCAUGCUGAAUGUCUGUCAGAGGGUUCCACCUGAAAGUGGAACAUGCGGUCCUGGUUUUGUGACAUGUAAGCGGGAGGGAUGUGUGGAGGAUAUUAAAGUGUGUGACGGCACAGAUGACUGUGAGCAGAACAAGAGCUGUGACUUUGAAAAUGGCCUUUGUGGAUGGGACCUAAGAACAUUAUCAUCCUUGAAAUGGACAAGGACCAGUCAGAUGAAUAUAUCACUUUUUGAGCCUGUAAAAUGA